rnacentral:lncRNA from 1 species
UACCUGUACUCCUAUAGGAAGGUGUAUAUCCUACACCCGUAUGAUCCAACGGCUAUUAUUAGAUCACUAGCACAGUAGCAGCUAACUUCACUCCCCUUUUUAUUUUUUCUUCCUAAAGCUAAACCCUACUACACAUCUCUUUCUCUCUCUCUCCCCUACACCUCCUUCUCGGUCCCGCUCGCUCUCUCGGUCCCGCUCGCUCCCUCGCCUCUCUCUUGAUCUCGCGCCUCUCUCGUCACCUCUCUCGUCAUCUCGCGCUCUCCCCUUUCUCUUUCUCUCGCUCUCGCUCGCAGA